rnacentral:misc_RNA from 1 species
GGAUGAAGAACGCAGCGAAAUGCGAUAAGUAAUGCGAAUUGCAGAAUUCAGUGAGUCAUCGAAUCUUUGAACGCACAUUGCGCCCUGUGGUAUUCCGCAGGGCAUGCCUGUUCGAGCGUCAUUUCAACCCUCAAGCCCCGCUUGGUGUUGGGCCCCGCCCGCCGUGGCCGGCCCUAAAGACAGUGGCGGCGCCGCCUGGCCCUCAGCGUAGUACAGCUCUCGCUCCAGGGUCCGGCGGCCGCCUGCCAGAACCCCCCCAACUCUGUGGUUGACCUCGGAUCAGGUAGGGAUACCCGCUGAACUUAAGCAUAUCAAUAAGCGGAGGA